UUGCUGGUGAGAAGUCAUGCU
rnacentral:misc_RNA from 1 species